GUCUCAGAUGUGGCAUAUAUAUAAAACUGGAAUGAUACAGAGAUGAUAAGCAUGGCCCCUGUGCAAGGAUGACAUGCAAAGUCAUGGAACAUUUCAUAUUUAA